UACCUCUAUCGCAUAUAACAUACAAGCCAGCAUGAAAACCUAUCAUCACACACUGUCAGACGUAUCUGGGGUGUCUGACUACCCUUCGGUCCUAACAACCGAACACUACUACUAUCACAUACAACAUAUCAUGCUAGCAUAUAACAUAUCAGGUAGUAGCAACCUAGAUGAUAUCACGAAGACAAUCACCUAACAUAUGAACCCUACUGGUGGGCCGGCAUUGUGGCCGUAGACCCACCGCUACUGGAAAGUAACUCACCUCGUAGUUGCUGAACUGUGCGGAAAUCCUCUUACUNUGUAGUUGCUGAACUGUGCGGAAAUCCUCUGACUGCUGCCGCUGCUGCUCCGGAAAUCCUCCGGCUAUAAUUCCCACAAACACUUAGUCAGAAACUGACAUCUACCCUUAGGGUAAAAUGACCAUUUUACC
rnacentral:lncRNA from 1 species